rnacentral:ncRNA from 1 species
UAAAAUUUAGUUAAAGAUUUUGUUUUUUAAUUGAUUUAUAUAUAAAUUUAAGUAUUAUUAAUAUUUAAAUAAUUUUAAUAAUAUUUGUAGUAUUUAAUUUUAAAAAUUAAAGAAAUUUAGAUUUAGUAAUUUAAUUAAGUUUAAAUUAAAUUUGUGCCAGCAAUUGCGGUUAUACAAAUUAUACAAAUAAAAUUUAUUUAAUAUAAUUAAAUGAAAAAAAUUAAUUUAUUAUUAUUAUUUUUUGGUGAAAUAUUAAGUCUAAUAUAAUUUAUUUUUAAAAAUUUGAAGUUAGGAAUUUUAGAAUUUAAACUAGGAUUAGAUACCCUAUUAUUAUAAAUGUAAUUAGUUUUUAAAAUUAUUAUGAGUUAAGAUCUUUAAAAUUAAAAAUUAUGGCGGUAUUUUAAUCUAUUUAGAGGAACUUGUUUUUUAAUUGAUAAUCCACGAUAAGAUUUACUUUUUUUAAUAAAAAUUUAUAUAUCGUUGUAGUUUGAAUAUUUUUUUAAAAUUUUAAAUAUUCAAUUUUUUAAAUAAAAAUAGAAUUCAGAUCAAGGUAUAGUUUAUAGAAAAGAUAAAAUGAGUUACAAUAAUUAUAUUUUUUGGAUUUAAUGUUUUAAAUAUUAAUGAAAUUGGAUUUAAAAGUAAUAUUAUUGAUUUAAAUAAUAUGAUUGAGUUUUAAAAUAUGUACAUAUUGCCCGUCGCUUUCAUUUAAAAUGAAAUAAGUCGUAACAAAGUAGAUUUAUUGGAAAAUAAAUCUAGAAAAUU